ensembl:lncRNA
UCCAGAAUAUAGCCACGUCCUGCACAUCAGCAGGGGUAGCAGAAGUUUUUCAUUAGCCAUUUACUUUUUCUUUCUUUUUUUUUUUUCCCUUUGCAGAAAGAGGUAGCUUUCGAAGAAUCCCCCAAUUCCUCAUCCUGAAAGCUUCAGGAUAGCCAACAGCCAACAAGUCUGGGUACAAGCUUGGUAUCUACUUUGCUCACACCCGACCUCCUGAACGUCAGAGUAUCAAGAGCCAGACCUUUGUUUCCUGGCCAUCUCCAGCUGUUAUUGCACCUCCUGGCACAGGAAACAGAGCCAUUGAGCACAACGCAUCUUCGGGAUGACAAUCACAUCACAUGGAUCCGAGGGCCCGGAAUGAGCAGGAUGACAUGUUGUUGUGGUCACCCCAUUCCUUAAGGCUGUGUGGAGUUUGCUGGCAGGCAGGCUGGGAACGAUGCUCUUCAGACACUCAGUGUGAUCUUUACUCAACCAGAAUGCAAACAGAUUUUGAAACAUCAGAAGUUGCCAUGAAACAAACUCGCUGUUUGCCAGCCAGCUCUCACUGCGGGUCACGGCUAGCCCUUGCUUAAGCCUUCUGAAGUCAGAAAUUACACAGAAGCAGCAUCCAUCUCUGCACAGAUCUGUAUGGAGAAAUGUGACUUGUGAUCAUCUUUUAAAACAAACUUAACUAUUGGGUUUAUUACUUUCUGUGUUCGGUCCCUCCUUACUUUCAGCAAAUAUUUGCAAGAAACACCACACCUUACAUAUGGGAAGUGAGCUGCUGCAGUGUGGCAUGCAGUGUGAGCAUGGCAGUGCCCUCUGCUUCUCACCCCCAAGAGCAGGGGAUGCCAUCUGCCAAUAUUUUUUUUUUUAAACCAGGCUCAGGGUUUGAUCUAAGAGAGAAUUGUAAUUUCAGUGUCUGAUUCGGAAUGCACUGACACUGCUGAAUAUUUAUAAAGGACUUUUUCCAAAUCAAUCAGUGUUGCUCUUGACCUGAAUUCAGGCAGUUGGGUUUUUCAUCCCCUCUCAUCAUGAUUUCAUUUUCUCAUCCCCGUCACCGCAUGGAUUUUUCUGCAGUGACUAAUUCUGAGGAGCGUAAGCUCGCUGCUGAAAAGCAGCGUCAGAAAUGUAUGGUUAUCCAGGAUAAUGGGUGCCAAUGGCACAAAUCCUACAGCUGUGUGAGGGGGAAAAUGACAGUCAUCUGAAUGCCAAAUUGUUUGUGUCCCUUCAUCACCCUAGAGCUUCUGAAAAGAAAAGCAAUUCUUUUAAAGGGUCUGAGGAAUAGCAUCACAAGGCGAACACUUCCAAGUUACUGUUAAGGUUCCUUUGUGGUGGCUGCAGCAAUCCUUCAGAAGGGUUUGCUCUGAGGAUUUCUUAAUUUUGAGAGGAUAACGAGAGGAUAACUCAGGAAGCAACUGCGACUGUGCUGAGUUAACACACAGCUUUGUUUUCUCAGUCAGCUUUUCUCAGGCAGUCUGAACUCUGUCUGGUUUCCAUUUUUACAUCUGCAUUUUGGUGCGCUACGACAAAUAUUUCUGGUAGGUGCAAGGAAGCAUUGCAUCUUUCCUUCGGAAUUCAGGUUUUGAAUAAUUUCAACAAACUUUGAAGUAGUCUUCACGAUGAGGGUCAUCAUUUGAGGAGGAGAAUUGUCUCAUUCACUCCAUAUUUUCCCAACAUAAUGUUUUAGGCAUCUCUGCAACAUUUGGAGGUUCGCAAAUUUGGAGGUGUUUGCAGCCUUGCAGUGCUUUUCUGCUGCACUUUUCAGAAAGGAAAAAUGUGAUGUGAUUUUAUUGGAUGCAUCAUGGUUCAUCUCAGAUAUCUGAAAGAAUCUGAAAAAUCAUUGCAGGUCCCUUUAUGGCAAAAAAAAAUUGCAUUCUUCUCAUAGAGAAAAUAAAUAAAACUCUCAUGUUCUGCCCUCA